rnacentral:lncRNA from 1 species
GGACCUGACCAUGCUAGUACCCUGAUCUCAGACUUUCCCACCUCCAAAACUUUGAGAAAUAAAUAUCUGUGAUUUAAACCUCCCAGUCUGUGGUCUUUUGUUAUAGAAAUUCCAGGUAAAAUAGCAGGGUAGGGACCAAGUUAUUGGCAUUUCAGACUCUUCCCAGGGGCUGCUUAUUGUUAAGAAUGUGGGUUAUUUCUGUUCUCCGUUUCACCCCAAUCUGUCCCUUAUUUUAGUAUUAGCCUGCAGGGGUAAGAACAUAGGAAAAACAUAUUCAGUCCUUUUAUGCACAGUUUCUCUCCCCACACAGUUCAUAAGCUGCACCUGAGCAGGGUGAGAUGCAAGGCCUUUCAAAGUCCACGGUCAAGCCUUUAUCCUCUUUUCCCAUGGGGUCUAAAGUAGUAGGUGUAAAAUUUAAUCCUCUUGGGGCUUCUGGGCUUUCUUAUCCCAGAGGCAGUUUGGAUGAGUGGACCAAUGCAGAUGCCCUUGAUUAAUCUGGAAGAAGGGAGCCUGUUGAAACCUUAGGAUCUGCUACCACUUUCCUGCAAAACCUGGUCAAGAGGAAAGUCAGGUUGGCGUCGGGUGUUUGUAGAGCAAUGAGUGCAUCGUUUCUUUUUUGACAACUGAUGCUUGUGAGGAUGUGGCAUCCUUGGUUGAGAUCUCCAAAUUCCUGCUUCUUAAAUGAGAUGACCAGGAGCUCCUCUACCUGUCAAUACAGGGUUCUGGGUGAAGCCACUAGGCUCUAAAGACUAGAGCAAACCAUUCCUGAAUGAGACUCUCUUUUUCUCGAACCCUGUAGCCGGGACACUUUGUUUACCACUUAUCUAGCUGCCUCCUGUUCAUCUUUCAGCUUAAAUGUUACCUCCCCUGGAAUUUUUUUCCCCUCUGAUUCUGCAAGCCUUGACUCUGCAAUCCCAACUCCCCUGCCAUAGCUCUUUUCUCAGCACCCCCUGCACAUAUCACCGUGAAUUGCCCCUGCCUGUUUACCACAAGAGCAUUCCACGAGGUCCUGAUCUCUCUGAGUGCUGGGUCUGGCCCUUAAGCGCUGACCCCUAGCAAUGGAUACGGAAACUGAUACAUUGUAAGUGUCCAACAGUUCAGUGAGUACAGAUAGGAAAUCUGAGAGAUGAAAAGGAUCCAGUUUGGAGACAAUUUUGGGAGGAAAAGUGUUGGAGACAAUGGAAGAGCAAGUGCAAAGACCCUGAGGUAGGUUCAUCUUGAGAAAGAAGAAUGAGGACCCGUGUGGCUGGAAUGUGGGGAACCCAUGGACAGAUGGGAAGGGGAAAUCCAAAGAGAGAGAUGGGGCCAGUCAGGGGGGGGGCACCACGGGCCCUAGUCAGGAGUCAGAUUACUUUGUAAGUGCAAUGGGAGGCCUGUGGCAAUGUUUAUCAGGCGAGUAACACACUCUGAUUUUAAAAAGGUCACUCCAGUAGCUGAGUAGAAUUGAUUGGAGGGGGGCGGGCAUGGAAGCUGGGAGGCUGUUGUCAUUCUCAGUUUCUAUUUGGAGUCUCAGAAUUGGUGUGCUUCUAUUAACUGGAAAAAAUAACAGCAACAAAAUGUUUUUUAAUAUAAAGGGUUUACUUUGAACAAUCUGUUUAUCAGGCAUUUUUGGAAAAGUGAGAGCCCUUCGGUGGUUCUCUUUCAAACUGGAAAUGAUGGCAUUUCAUUACAAAUUUCUUCUCAGAGUAGAGCGUAAUUUUCUUUUAUAACAGAACCAAUAUUAAAGAAACAAAAAGGAAACAGAAGAAAGGAAGAAAACAAUUCACUUCUUGUCUUAGAAAAUCAAGGAUUUAUUUUAAGUUCUUUUAUAGUCCCCGACCAUGAGCAUAGAGUUUGGUUAAAGUUAUAAUAUGAGGGCUAUAUAUUGUAAUGAAUUCUGGUUUUUUUUUUUUUUACAUAAUGCAUGCCAUCCACAGGCUUUCCCCCAUGUUCUGCACAUGUGCUUAGCUCCGUGUCUGACAUAUAAUCAGUAAUAAAUGUUAAAACGUUAGCUUUCCUUCCUCUCCUCUCUCUGCUUAUAGUUCUAUGAUUGUGUUUGAAUGUAGUCUUCAUGGUGAUUAUUUUUUAGCAUUGCAAGGCGUUUCAUCAAGUGAACACUCAUUUAAAAAUGUACACACUGGGAGUUCCUAUUGUGGCACAGGGGAAACUAAUCUGACUAGUAUCCAUGAGGAUGUGAGUUCGAUCCUUGCCCCACUUGGUGGGUUAAGGAUCCAGUGUUACCAUGAGCUGUGGUGUAGGUCACAGACGCAGCUCGUAUCCUGAGUAGCUGUGAUUGUGGUGCAGGUCGGCUGCUGUAGCUCCCAUUAGACCCCUAACCUGGGAACUUCCAUUAGCCACAGGUGCAGCCCUAAAAACAAAACAAAAAAAAUAUAUUCUUUUGGAUAUUUAGUCAACUUAUUUUUUUAAUCACAUAAAUUAUUGCUUAAUUAAAAUUUAUUGUAUUUAUAGCCUUUUAUUGGUUUAUUGCAUUUGAACAACUGUUUCCAAAAGAGAAAUCUCACUUUUUUAAAAAAAAUGCUAGUUCCUUAAUGUACUGAGCAAGGCCAGGGAUCGAACCUGCUUCCUCAUGGAUACCAGUCAGGAUCGUUUUCGCUGAGCCACAACGGGAACUCCUUUUUUUUGGUCUUUUUUUUUAAUAAAACUAUCUUUUCCCUCCCCAAAUAUUGCAGACUUGCAAUAUAUAUAAUGGUCAGAAAUAAAGCUUUCUUGCCUCCCUACCUCUGAGAGGUAGCCCUGGAUUUCUUCAGGAAUGCUGAAAAUCCCUGCUUUAGGAUAAAUAACCAGAGAUAGCAUUUUGGAUGAAAGACUGUUAUUUCUUGAAAUUUGUAUAUGACUCUCACCUGUGUAUUUUUUAAAGGAUGGAAACUGUUUGCCUUGCUCCCAGAAAAGUACAAACAGACCAGUUUCCCAACUAAGCUGCUGGUGUUGUCACUUUAAUAAAAUUUGGUUAAUAUAGUAGGUAUAAAUGGCAUCUCAUGAGUAUUUGACUUUACCUGUCUUUGAAUAUGAAGGAAAUGUAUCAUUUCUAUGACAAACAAAAGCUACAAUUAAUUGGGCACUUCCUACAUCGGAGGCAAUCGAUCAUGGCUCUAGUACACAAUUUCCAUUUAAUCUUCACCUUACCUUUCUUGCGAAGAUGUGGGUGUUAAGUCUCUCAUGAAUAGGGAAACUGAAGCUGGGAGAAAUUCAAUAACUUUCUGUAAGUCAGAGUGUGUGACCACGGAGCUGAAUUUGGAACACUCCUCUGUUGGACCCCCCUGCUGAUUGCUUGCCUCUAGCAGGUAUGCAUAUGCACUGCCUAUUUAUUUGUUGUGAGCUUGAUGUUUGUCUCACUAAUUUGAAUUUGCUCUUGUUCAGCUGUAGGUAUGUAUUCAUUUGCUUGGCAUUUUUCAUGCAAAUAUUUUUUUUCCCAAGGCCUUUUGAAAGAUCCAUUUAGCAGGAAAUAUGUAAGCUGAGGGAAUCAUAAGUUGAGCCAAAAAGGAGGUCUAAUUUUAUUAGUGCACGAGGUGUGGGAUUGUGAGAAGCAGAAGACAUUUUUACAAUGUUUACUUACAAAACUUCCUUGGGGUUUCAAAAAGUGAAUGAAACAGAAAAACCUAAUAGCUCCAAGGGUUGAGAGAGGCCCUGCUGAUUGCUUCAGGCGCUAAUAAAAGUCCCCAUGACUCAAACAUUCCCCAUGCCCUUUUGCUCUUAUAUUCAAGGUGGGUAUAAUAAAUAAUGUUUCUACAGAGGAGGAAAAUGAGGUAAAAAAAAUGUGAAAUGACUUUCCGAACAUCAGAGAGUGUUUGAGUAGCAGAGAGGGAUUAAACAGAUGUCUGGAGGAGGCUGAAACACACGCUUUUUCUGCAAUAUCACAUCAAAAGUUGUCUACGGAGGUGAUUGUUUAGAGCAAAUUGUAGGCUUGAGAAAACUUCCAGUGGAGAGGCACCAGUAAGCAAGAUGUACUUCACUUCAAUAAGCAGAGACUGGCUGGGAACCCAGAUCUGUCCACUCUGGUGGUAGGUGGUGGGAAGGAGGGGAGAGCUGAGAUUUAUCCUUCCUUCUUCCCUCUUUUUUGUUCCUCCCGCCCGUUCUCCCUGCCUUCCAUUCAUCUCUUCAUCUACCCAUUAAGAAUACAUGGGAUGCUAGAGUUUCUGUUGUGGUUCAGCAGUAACAAACCCAACUUUUACCCAUGAGGAGGUUGGUUUGAUCCCUGGACUAGCUCAGUGGGUUAAGGAUCUGUUGCCCUAAGCUGGGGUGUAGGUUGCAGACAUGGCUCAAAUCCAGAGUUUCUGUGGCUGUGGUAUAGGCUGGCAGCUGUAGCUCUGAUUCGACCCAUAGCCUGAGAACGUCCGUGUGCUGUGGGUGUGGCCCUAAAAUAUAUGCAAUGCAGUAUAACACCACACAAAGAUGUUACUUACGACCCAUAUUCCACACACUGUUCAUUUCAUUACCUGUAACUCAUUUCUUGGGCAACUAGAAGUGUGUACCCCUUAAUCCCCCUCACCUCUUUCUUUCCCUCUACCCUCCUCUCCUCUGUAACACCUGUUUGUUCUCUGUGUUAUAGCUCUGUUUCUGGUUUUUGUUUUUGGGUUUUUUUUUUUAUGUAUUUUCAUUUAUUUUGUUUUGUUUUAGAUUCCACAUCUAAGUGAAAUACAGUGUUUGUCAUCCAGCAUAGUACCCUCCAUGUCCACCCAUACUGUCACAAAUGGCAAGAUUUCAUUUUUUGAUGUCUGAGCACUAUUCAUUAUAUAUAUACAUAUUACAUCUUCUUUAUCCAUUCAUCUACAGAUGGACACUUGGGUGGCUUCCAUAUAUUGGUUAUUGGAAGGAAUGCUGCAGGGCACACAGGGGUGCAUAUGUCAUUUCUAAGUAGUGGUUUUGUUUUCUUUGGAAAUUAUAUCCUUGUGUGGUGAUGUAUUGUAGCUGGACUUAUCAUGGUGAUCAUUUUGAAAUGCAUAGAAAAAAUUCAUUAUGUUAGUGUUUGAUGGACUAGCAUUGUGUAUUAGAUUGAUUAUACUUCAAAAGCAAGCAAACAUACAUACAAACAAACUCGCAGAAAAAGAGAUCAGAUUUGUGGUUACCAGAGGUAGAUGUGUGUGUGCGUGUAUGUUUUGGGGGGCAGGAGGGGGCUGGAUGAAGGCAGUGAAAAAGAUACAAACUAUCAGCUAUAAGAUAAAAGAAUACUAGGGCUGUCACGUACAACAUGACAAACAUAAUUAACUGGGCUCUACGUUACCUAUGAACGUUGUUAAGAGUAAACACUAAGAAGUUUCAUCACAAAUUUUUUUCUAUUUCUUUAAUUUUGUGUCUAUAUGAGAUGAUAAAUGUUCAGUAAAUUGCAAUAAUCAUUUCAUGAUGGAUGCAAGUCAAAUCAUGAUGCUGUACACCUUCAACUUAUACAGAGCUGUGUGUCAGUUAAAUCCCAACGCAACUUGAAAGAAAGCUUAUGUAUAUGGAACACAUUAUAUUAGGCAUUGAAGAAACUGAGAUGGAUGGAGCUGGGUGCCUGUCAUUAAAGAAUAUUCCUUCAAGUGGGAAAAGCAGGGGAAUAAAUGAUUAUAAAGCAAGGUGAUAUAGUUUGAUGGGGUUAACCUGGACAGGAUACCAUGAGAAUGUAGGGCUUCUCAAGUGAUAGGUGAUGAAGCUGGGGGCGUGGGUGCAUCAGAAUCUGAGUGGGAAGGGAGCGGCCAAGAAAAUUUGGAGGCAAGGUGAAUCUUGAGCUGAGUGUUUGGGGAAGGGUGCACAAAGCUUAAUGAGCUGAAGAGGGUGGGAAGUGUUCCAUGCCAAGGGUUCCUGCAAAUAUUCAGAGAGGUGAAAUAGAAGUAAAUAUAUGAGGACCUGGAAGUCGUUUGAAAAGGUUAAUGUGAAAGGGAGAGAUGGGGAUGGGGUCAGGAAGAUGAUAAGGUUUAGUCCAAGACUAGUCUAAGUUUGCUGCUACUGGGAGGAAUUUCCAUCCUGAAAGGGAGACCUGGAUUCUGGAGUCUUGAUUUUUUUGGUUUUGUUUUUUUAACUCACUUCCUGCAUCAUGUUUAAGAAUUUCCCUCUGGGCCAGUGCUGCCUGCUGUGUCAAAGGUCAUCUGACAUGACCCUCCACCGAAUGGAAUCAUAACUUAUUGCCAUGUCCUGGUUUGAAGAGAGAAAAGCAGCCCCCAGGCUCCUAAACCUAAAGUCAUCCAGGCUGAAGUGGAGGAGAUGAUUUCCAGCUCUGAAGGAGUGUGCCCUGAGAAUGAGCCUUCCUUUUACACCCUGCUGGGCUCCUACAGCCACACUAACCUUUCACCUGGAAAGCCCAGGGAUCUGCCUCUUCCCCAGGACAGUUCUUCCACGUCAGCUGUGGUCCUAAGGACCAAUGGAGAGGUCGUGAGGCGCAGUGAAGAAGCUUGUCUGGUACGUAUUCUGUGAUGACUAUAAAGUCCUUGUGAUAGUUAUAACUGAGGGAGCAUUUCCCAUGUGCCAGCAUCUGUGCCGCAUUGUAAACACCCCCAAGCACAUUAAUUUUCACACUAUCCUUGUAAGGUAGAGGUUGUUAUCCUAUUAAUGUUUUCUUCGCACUGUGAUUUCUGGGUUUACCCACUGAGCUGUGAGACCCUUAAAGGCAUCUCUUCUUUGCAUCUCCAAUGCUGUUUCAGAACUUCAAUAAGUACUUUGUUAACAGCUGAAUGAGAGUCAGUGAGGAGUACCCACUGUGGCUCAGCAGGUUAAGAAUCUGACAUAGCGUUUGUGAGGAUGUGGGUUUGAUCGCUGGCCUCGCGCAGUGGGUUAAGAACUCGGCUUUGCUGCAAGCUGAGGCGUAGGUUGCAAAUGUGGCUCAGAUCCGGUGUUGCUGUGGCUGUGGUGUAGGCUGGCAGCUGCAGCUCUGAUUGGACCCCUACCGUGGGAACUUCCAUAGGCCAGAGGUACAGCUGUAAAAGAAAAAAAAAAAAAAAAAAAAAAAAA